GUGAAUUAAAACACUCACAUUGAGAUUAUAUUUUUAACCAUUUAAUAUUGUUAUAAAAUGACAUUAAAACAGAAGUUUGAAACUAUUAUAUUGAAAGUGCUAUUAUAUGAGAGGUUGUUUGAAUGUCAUUUUCAUCUCACAGAGGUUGUUUAUAUACAUGUACAAAAUGUUUACAUGUCUAUAUACCUAUAUAUAUUUACAUUUUAUGCAUUGGAACUUGGAAGGAUGUUGCAUGUAUUUUAUAUAGCCUCAUUUUCAAUGUAUGUUGAUGAAUGGUUUAUCUAUGCAAAUUUUCAGUAAACAUUUUUUGUUGAAGAAUACUUGUUACUUAUUCUCUGUGAUUGAUUUACUGGGGGAGAUAUGUUCUUUUUUUAACUUCAUCAAAAUGUUAGUGAAAUGUACAAUGUUUUUAUCGAGUUGAAUAUAUGUACAUGUCAUGAUAUGAUUCAAUAAAUUUCUAAUACAAACGUC
rnacentral:sRNA from 1 species